rnacentral:rRNA from 1 species
CGUUUUAGUGGCGGACGGGUGAGUAACGCGUGGGUAACCUGCCUCACACUGGGGGAUAACACUUAGAAAUAGGUGCUAAUACCGCAUAAGCGCACGGGACUGCAUGGUCUUGUGUGAAAAACUCCGGUGGUGCGGGAUGGGCCCGCGUCUGAUUAGCUGGUUGGCGGGGUAACGGCCCACCAAGGCAACGAUCAGUAGCCGGCCUGAGAGGGUGGACGGCCACAUUGGGACUGAGACACGGCCCAGACUCCUACGGAAGGCAGCAG